CAGGUCCCUCACAGGCUGCAGUUAAUAGCAGGAGCCUUAUCCUAUCUGGGCUCCUCUCAGUGGGCUGCAGCUUCCUUCAGGGCAUAUCUGUCUACUCCAGUUUGGUCUUUUCCACAGGCUGAGGGAGAAGUCUUGGAUCUGGGGCCUGAUUCACCUCCUCCCCAUCCUUCUUCAUUGACCUUGGAGCCUGCAGAAUAGCAGCCAAUGGGAAUACAACUUAUAUACAACUCAUACACAACUCAUAUACAGCUCACAGCAUCCAAAGGCAUCAUUCAGUGAGGAAAAAAAAAAAAAAGGUGAAUUAAGGAGAAUGGAAAGGAGGGGGAUUAUGUGUUCCACUGUGAGAGCUGCUUGGUAACAUGUAGGCAAGUAAGCUAUAAAGAUGUUCUCCAAACAGUUUCAUAGAAUGAGCAGAAUAAAUUUGUUUGCUUGUAGAUAUGGUCUCAGGGUGAGCACACUGCAGAAGUCUAAUUAAGAACUGCAAAAGUAUUGACUGGAUACAGGAGAAGUAUUUGCAACAUCUUCUCUGCUUACAAGUGGAAAAUAACAGCCUGUCAUCUCAGCCAUUUGACAAACUAACUGACAACAUCUGAAGCUGACAAAGUGAUAACAUUUUCUGUCUGAAAAUCGUAAAUGUGACCAACAAAGAGAUGGCCUACAGAAUUUUAAUACUAGAGAACUGUCACUCAGCAUUUUAUUUUUUUUAUUUUUGACUACAUGGCUCAUUCCAGCAAUGUUUGAUUAAAAAAAUAAAUUAAUCCCUUAAGAGAUAAAGGAAAAGUAGGUCAGCACCUCAUACAAACAAACCUCAUGAACCUCUAGUAAUAUAUCAGUGAUGAAUUUUCUGUAUAACUGUGGUCCAUAGACAUACUGAAAGAAUAUGCAAGGCAGAUAAGGUAUAUUUUGGUAAGAUUACAGUCCAGCUGAAUCUUUAUGAAGUCCUAAUAAGCUAAUUAUAAUAACUUCAGAUUUCAAAACUGAAACAAGAAUUAUUGUGUACGCUGUGUUAAUAUCAUUAAUAACUCCUCCAGUUCUGUUCUGACAUAGUAUGCCGUACACUGCAAAAAUACAACCUUUACUAAGUACGCAAAGUCUAAGACUGAACUCAUUUUGUACCCCAAAUAGGUUCCUUCUGUAGUACACACUGAAAAACCAAUAGAUUCACUCAAUACUCUGAAGUAUUUUAAUAGGAUAUUGUUGUUUGAUGUUGAUACUAGUACUGCACUACAUUUUCUGCUUUGCUAUUACAAAUCUGUUGGUUUUUUCCUUCCUUUCUAGACUUAGUUGAAUAUUUGAAACAUAAUGCACGUGAGUAAGAAGCAGAAAAUAAAUCAAGGUUUAGAAAUGAAUACACUAUUAAUUCAGAGUUUUGUGGUCUCUUUUCUGGAACAGCUGUCACAUAUAGGGGUUGUCAGUCAUUUUCAAAACAUUACAAAGUCUUUUGAAUUUCAGUCACAAAUAACCACAUUGUGAUUUACUUACUGAUUUUAAGUACCUUAGUCCUCCACAACUAUGUGAAUCCUUGUUGUGGAUUAACCUGGCAGGCAGCAAAGAAUCAAAGAACCACACAGCCAUCAGCUCACUUCACUCCGUGUGGAGUAAGGGAGAGAAUAAAAAAACAAAACAGAACACAUAGGCUAAGAUAAAAGCUAUUUACUAAGACAAGAAAGGAAAAUAGAAACAAAAAUGUAAUGGAAACAAUGUAAAUAUGCAUUUGCAAUAAAAUUACCUGCCAACAAACACUAAGCUAACAACAUACCAACUGAUGUUCUGCUAGCAAUGCAACAGCUCACCACCACUAGCUGCCACCAAACCAGCCCCUAAGCAACAGUUUACACAGCUGUAUGAUCUUCCACAUUAGGUCACAUAGAAAGGAAUAAUUCCUUGCCUAAUUCAGGCCAGCUGUCUUGACUCUAUCCUUACCACAGCAUCAUAAUGGUGGUGGCCCUUCACUGUCAAGUGACCCACCCCCAAGCACACUCCAUCACUUAAUAGCAACUAAAACAUCUGUGUACUAUUAACACCAUCUCAGCUGGAUCCUAUGUACUUUGAUUUAGUGUACUUUGGCCUUCCAAAGUUCACUAAAGUUGUAUAUAUAAUGGUGGUAUGCUCUGAAAGCAGACAUCUUUAUUUCUAUAAUUGGUUAUUACAGCACUUAAUAGCAAAACACACAUAUUUGAAAACUUUACUGACCAGAGUUUAAACAUGUCCCAUUUUAAUCAUUUGAUGAAUCCUGAUGGGUUUCUGUUACAGUACAGAAAAAUUAAAUGUGGAAAAAAAUACUCCUUUCAACAGCUUGCAUGAAUGUAAGGAGAAACCAUGAUCAGGAACACUGUUCUGAUAGUUUUCUGUGUUGGUUUUAUUUUAGUUAAAGCUAUUGAUAAAUGAUUAAAUAUGAGCUUACCAGAAGACAGAAUUGCUCUGAUACCUCCAGAAACUCUUAAAUGUUAUGCUUUCCUGUAGAAGUGGGCUAAAAUGGUAUCUGCCAUGGUUUUAAUAAUGGCACGUGCACAUUGUAAGUUAUCUAUCAGUUUACUUCGAAUAUCUAUUGUGAGAAAGUGUAUCUUUUUCUGAUAUCUUUCCAUACUUCUUUUUCUCCAAAAUUAAUUAGCUCAGUAAUGAUCCAGUAGCUGUCAAAAGAACCUGACUUUUUAGAAGGUGUGUUCUCUUCAGUAUCAACACAGAUAGGAUCUGAGGUGUCUCUGGCCCUUACCCUUUUUCCCCUACCACCCCCAUAGUUAUAACAAAUAACAGAAAGGAUAUACCAAAUUACUACAGAAAGGCCACUCCACAUUUGUUAGAUCUUAGACAUGCUUUACUGUAUUAGAUGCUAUAAUUACCAACUCUGAAACAGAUCAUUGUAAUGAAAGAGCUAAUGAGAAGCUGUUGUUGAGCAGUGUAUCUGACAGAGAUAAUUUAUGUAUUUAUGGGAGAAAUCUAAAUCAUUCUGAAAUAAAUAGAAAUCUUCUUUGAGUUAUAUUUGGAAAAUAUUUUUAUAAAACUUAUUGACAGACAAAUAGUGUUCAAGCAGAAAUAAACCAGUAACAACUAACAUCAUUUUGGUGACUUGGUGUGAAUAGGUCAGUGUCUUGAUGGAAGUAGUUUUUGACCUUGCAGUCUUAUUUCUUCUGUUCACUCACUCAAGACUUGUAUUUUAAUGGAACAUGACAAAGAUUUUUAAGUUUUAAAAUAAUAAUCUACUGAAAUUUGGCUUCAUUUUCAUUCUACAUUUGGUUUAGGAC
ensembl:lncRNA